rnacentral:rRNA from 1 species
AGGACGAACGCUGGCGGCGUGCUUAACACAUGCAAGUCGAACGGUGAAGCCCUUCGGGGUGGAUCAGUGGCGAACGGGUGAGUAACACGUGAGCAACCUGCCCUUGACUCUGGGAUAACUCCGGGAAACCGGAGCUAAUACCGGAUACGACACGCGAAGGCAUCUUCCGCGUGUGGAAAGAUUUAUCGGUCAGGGAUGGGCUCGCGGCCUAUCAGCUUGUUGGUGGGGUAAUGGCCUACCAAGGCGACGACGGGUA